AUACGGAAACGUCCUUUAUUUGACAAUUAAUUGUUGCGUCCCGUAUUGAAUCAAUACGGGACGCAAGUUGUUCCGUAUUUUCAUAAAUGCCCCGUACACGUCUGUCACACACUCAUCAAAACUGCAUAAUGAAUAAAAUAAAACACAGGAAAUAUUAAGGGCAGCCAAUUUCAUCUUCGUAGGACCUUUGUAGCGAGGACCUGAUGCCAGGUCCACUGGACAGACUUCAGACGUCUCUGUGUGUCCGGUCCUGUCUCUGGUUGCCUGGUUACAGACGCUGCUGCACCCGCACAUUUAAAAAUGUCUACACCUGAAACUCCACCACGUCUAAAGAAGCAAAAACGUUUGCAAAUGUACAGACUGGAGUGGUAAGAGUGGAACCCCUGGCAAUGGAUACAAGGCAAACUGUGUUUUCUGUUGCUCAUGGACUGUCUGAAGUAAGGCAGCAUCAGGAGACAAGCAUGGAGGAAAUAUGAGAACAGAGAGAACCCAACCAGCAGGUCACAGUUUAUCAUCAUCUAAUCAUCUCCUGAAGUCGAUAUGACCAAAGAACUACAGACUCUUCACAACCUGCUCAAACUCUUGGUACAGGACCUCACCACACGGGUCAAGAAGGUUUCCAUCUCAUUUCUACUCUGAAGCUCACCUUCUCCUGCUCAAACUGCUGACAAAUGUUUCUGCUGCUCUAAAGUCUGGUCUCCAGAACUUCCUAAAAACUCUCAAAGUCUCUUCUGCUGCAGGUUGCUUUGUAGAACUGUUCCAGAAAACCUCACUAAACCACAUGGAGGGGCCUCAAGAUAGUCGUCCAAAUCAAACCGUACAAAAACCAAACUAGCAUAACCCAAAUGCUAAAGUCUCCUGCAGCCUAACAGAGAAUCAGGACAGGAACUCUUACCUUCUGGACAACCAAUGUUGGUUCUCAAGAACACAGAAUGUGUCUGACCAAAAACCUCUGAAGACUCACUACAGCCAAGAUAAAGACACAACUCAGCUGUACCAAAUCCACUAAUCACUGCACACAUUAGUACCAUGUGCUAACUGUGGCUAAAGAACCACAUUUACCAAGACAACUAUCCAGUACAAAGCCCUAAAACACACCAAGAAACACAUUAAAGACGAUUUUACUGCUGGAAGCUGCAAGCCAACGCCUAAAGAACAAACUGAAGCAAUGGAGCCAAACCCAGUUCACUGGUGAAGAGAAGCAGAGGAAAUGUUUGUCUGCAGCUAAAUAAAGCAGGAAGACACUGAGCUGCUCAGGUGUUCCUGAUAACACCAAGCAGGCACCUGGACAGCCAAUAGGAACACAGCUUACUGGAAGUCCAGAGGGCUGGGUUAGUGAAGGAAAUUUAGUUUGAGGUUGAAGCAGAAAGUUAACAAAGUUGAAAACCACCUUCUGAUACCUGAAAUUUCUGAGUUUUCACACAAAGAACACCUGAACAUGUUAAACUGGUUUCAUAGUAGAACCAUCAUUGUAAAAACGUCAUAGUAUGGUGUGUUGCUGUCUAGGGUCUCUGAAGAGCAACACAAAAACAGGACAAACGCUGGUUUCCAGGGGGUUAGGAGGCUAUUUAUUUGAAAGAGUAAGUUUACAACAACACAUGUGAGCAGAAAAAUCACAAAAUCUGUCUUUAGUUCAUCUGAAAAUACUAGUUUUUGUCUUUUUUAUUGACCAAACUUUUCAGGAAGUAGAUGAAGAAUAAUUAAAGCUCUCAUGUAGAAGUCCAACUUAUUUUGGAUCCUUGUGGAGAGUUUAAUCUUAGAGUUUGUACAGCUGUUGAGUUUUUAGAGUCACAUGGAUUGUUUUGACAUUUAAUAACCGAGUCCUGAAAUAAAAUUACAGUUGUGGAA